UGCCCUGAUGUGGGGGAUAACUAUUGGAAACGAUAGCUAAUACCGCAUAAUCUCUUCGGAGCAAAGAGGGGGACCUUCGGGCCUCUCGCGUCAGGAUUAGCCCAGGUGGGAUUAGCUUGUUGGUGAGGUAAUGGCUCACCAAGGCAACGAUCCCUAGCUGGUCUGAGAGGAUGAUCAGCCACACUGGAACUGAGACACGGUCCAGACUCCUACGGGAGGCAGCAGUGGGGAAUAUUGCACAAUGGGGGAAACCCUGAUGCAGCCAUGCCGCGUGUGUGAAGAAGGCCUUCGGGUUGUAAAGCACUUUCAGUAGGGAGGAAGGUAGUGUAGUUAACACCUGCAUUAUUUGACGUUACCUACAGAAGAAGCACCGGCUAACUCCGUGCCAGCAGCCGCGGUAAUACGGAGGGUGCGAGCGUUAAUCGGAAUUACUGGGCGUAAAGCGCAUGCA
rnacentral:rRNA from 2 species